rnacentral:lncRNA from 1 species
AGUCAGUCAAGACUGGUGGGCUGGGUUAGGGUUAGGGUUUUGAAAUCUAAAAACAGCGCUAACCGGUUUUCCUCGUCUGUCUCAUUCCACGGUGUGUUAUUUGUUUGUGUUUUCUGUAAAUGUGAUACGAGAGAGUGUGAGGGAAGUAUGUUUUGGGAAUAGUACUGUGUGAAUGAGAGUUUUGUGAGUGUAUAAAUAAGUGUUAAUCUUACAUUUGGAUAAAAAGAUAUGUAGCGUUAUCUUGGGGUUCCAUUCAACACUGCCCAUCAUAUAAUAUCACGGUGUGGUAUUAUUAAAUGCUAGAUGUUAUUCUAUAAUUUCUGGAAGACUAGAGAACCGUUGAGAAUUAUUCCCAUAGGGCAGUGUCCGAGAAACGAACGUUUUUGGGUUCCGCUGGGUGUGUAUGGAUGAGGAGUCGUUGGAAAUGGAGUGAUUCAUUAAUAGUUUCCAGUUGUUUUGAAAAUACCAUAAAUCCAGAGAAUGCAAGACUUUGAUGACAAAAUUUACCCACGAAGGACCACCGCACCACCUUCCUUUUCAAAUGAGCACAGCACAACAAGCGGAGAUGUGUAUGUGCACCAUGCAGACUGGCACCCAGAUGACCAAACCGAAAGGAAAUAUGCGGCUGGUCAGGUUCUUCUACCUGGAUGAACACAAGUCCUCAAUCCGCUGGAUGCCCUCCAGGAAGCAUGAUAAGGCUUAAAGACAUGAGCCCUAGGACCAUGCCUCAGGACUACCUGGUAUGAUGACUCCUUGCUGUCCCCAGUCCACCUGGCCGUGCUGCUGCUCCAGUUUCAACUGUUCUGCCUGCGGCUAUGGAACCCUGACCUGUUCACCGGACGUGCUUGUUGCACCCUCGACAACUACUAUGAUUAUUAUUAUUUGACCAUGCUGGUCAUUUAUGAACAUUUUAACAUCUUGACCAUGUUCUGUUAUAAUAUCCACCCUGCACAGCCAGAAGAGGACUGGCCACCCCUCAUAGCCUGGUUCCUCUCUAGGUUUCUUCCUAGGUUUUUGGCCUUUCUAGGGAGUUUUUCCUAGGGAGUUUUUCCUAGCCACCGUGCUUCUUUCACAUGCUUUGCUUGCUGUUUGGGGUUUUAGGCUGGGUUUCUGUACAGCACUUUGAGAUAUCAGCUGAUGUACGAAGGGCUAUAUAAAUACAUUUGAUUUGAUUUAUUGCCAAUGUUUGUCUAUGGAGAUUGCAUGACUGUGUGCUCGAUGUUAUACACCUGUCAAACUAAUUUGAAGGGAUGUCCACAUACCUUUGUGUAUAUAUAGUGUAUUAAAUUAGUGCUGUCAGUAAACAUUUGGACAUUUCAGUGCAACAUUUUAAAUCUAAUUUUCGGAAUGCGUUCAAAAUGCACUGAAAACAUCCAACAAAAAUUAAAGCUCAGUUUGAGCAAAUUAUGCUUUUCACUUGAAUUUUUUUUUUUUUUUUUUUGUAAGGGUAUAUAAGAUCUUAAUUUGAUCAACCUGUUGCAAAGGCACUUUCCUGCAAUGCAGGAAAUGACAAAAUGGUAGUGUAUUUAAAGUUUUAAAAUGCUUCUGAAGUUUGUAAUUUCCACCUUGAACAUCUUUUGCUCCAACAUUGACUAAUUGAUUUGGGUCUACAGUUGACUUUAAAACUGAACUGGCUUCCAUUAGGACCUCCUGUCCCAUGGGCCGUGACAUGUUUGUAUAGUAUGUAUGUAUUGUAAUGUUGAGCAUGACAGUAAGAGCAGGUAACCUUCCUCAGCGAUCUGGAGUAGAGAGAGACAUGCUGCCCGCUCGUCUAUCACUCAGUAUAAUCUCCAAGGAUUGUCUGGAGUCCAUGCCAUCAUCUAUGCAUGUUACCUGCAUUUUCCCUCUGUUAUGAUGGGAACCCACAAAUUGUUGGUGGCAAUUGAAAGUGUUAUAAUAUUCAGCGCCUUGACUUUUUCCACAUGUUGUUGUGUUACAGCCUGAAUUGAAAGCAGAUUAAAUUUAGAUGUUUUGGUCACUGGCCUGCACACAAUACAACAUAAUGUCAAAGUUGAAUUAUGUUUUUAGAAACGUUUACAAAUUAAUAAAAAAUGGAAAG